UACGUAGGGGGCAAGCGUUGUCCGGAAUCAUUGGGCGUAAAGAGCGUGUAGGCGGCUCGAUAAGUCUGCUGUGAAAGUCCAGGGCUCAACCCUGGAAGGCCGGUGGAAACUGUCGGGCUAGAGUCCGGAAGAGGCGAGUGGAAUUCCCGGUGUAGCGGUGAAAUGCGCAGAUAUCGGGAGGAACACCAAUGGCGAAGGCAGCUCGCUGGGACGGUACUGACGCUGAGACGCGAAAGCGUGGGGGAGCAAACAGG
rnacentral:rRNA from 1 species